rnacentral:rRNA from 1 species
UGAAGCCGGAAUUGCUAGUAAUGGCAGGUCAGCAUACUGCCGUGAAUACGUUCCCGGGCCUUGUACACACCGCCCGUCACACCAUGAGAGUUGGGAAUGCCCGAAGCCUGUGAGCUAACGUAAGAGGCAGCAGUCGAAGGUAGAAUCAAUGAUUGGGGUGAAGUCGUAACAAGGUAUC